rnacentral:misc_RNA from 1 species
AAGAAACUGAAGCGAAGAUGAGAGUAUCGAUCAAGAUCUGUGUAGCGACAUUGGCUCUAGUGAUUGGGUACCUGUGGUUCGAAUACAUCUACAAGUUGGAACGGUUCACCUAUAAUAAGUACCAUCCAUAUACAUCAUGGAUUCCGAUAACUGUAUACAUAUGCUUACGAAACAUCACUCAGCAAUUCAGGAGCUUUUCUCUUACCCUAUUUGGGUGGCUUGGAAAGAUAACACUGGAGACCUACAUAUCACAGAUCCACAUUUGGCUCAGAUCUGGAAUGCCCAAUGGACAGCCUCGAUGGUUGCUUUCGAUUAUCCCGAACUACCCGAUGCUGAACUUCAUGCUCACUGGCGCCAUAUAUAUUGCGGUCUCUCACAGGAUCUUUGAAUUGACAAACACACUGAAGAUCGCAUUUGUGCCUAGUCGGGACAACAAACGCCUAACACGUAAUGCGAUUACAGCGGCUAUUGUUUCAGUUAUCUUGUAUUCCUUGGCGUAUAUGUUCCUCAGCGUUCCGAAGAUUAUGGUAUUUUUCGAUCUUCACAACAC